GAAUAGGACCAACGUGGCUCCUGCCCUCUUGACUUGCAACUCUGUAGGGAAGGCUGGACACACAGUACCGAAAAUGAGGAAUGGGGUGUGCCCCGACAUUGGAGGUCCAAGAGCCAUGGGAGCACACAACAAGAGGACCUAUGGGUCAAAGAAGCCUGUUUUCAAGCUCGACCUGCCAUAUUUCUUCCCCAGUGAGUGAUGAGACAGCUGUCUAGGGAGAUUUAUUCUUUGUCAUUUCCACUAAAACGGGGUUACCUUCCCAAGAAAUUUUGCAUGUAACUUUCUAUCAUCUCAGUCAUUCAUAUGCAAGACGGAAAAGUACUGAUUUUAGUUCAUACUGAAGACACAGAUGAGUAAACCGGCAACUUCAAAAAUGUCGAAUAAGGAUAUAAAAUCAGCAGUUGCUGCAAUUGAGACAUGACCGGAAUUAGCAAACUAUUUUAGAC